rnacentral:rRNA from 1 species
AAUGUUUUGUAACUUUUUUUACUAAUUUUAAUUUAAAAAAUUACUUCGGAGUUAACAGAAAAUCAUAUCUGAUUUAGUUCUUAUAAUAAUGAUAAGUUUUACAUCGAUGUUGUAUUUUAGUUCUUAAAGGGAGGAGAGGAUUUUAGGUUUUAGACUGUUCUUCUAUUAUUAAACUAAACGUGAUAUU